rnacentral:rRNA from 1 species
AAUACAUGCAAGUCGAACGAGAGCGACCGGUGCUUGCACUGGUCAAUCUAGUGGCGAACGGGUGAGUAACACGUGGGUAACCUGCCCAUCAGAGGGGGAUAACAUCCGGAAACGGAUGCUAAAACCGCAUAGGUCUUCGAGCCGCAUGGCUCGAAGAGGAAAAGAGGCGCAAGCUUCUGCUGAUGGAUGGACCCGCGGUGCAUUAGCUAGUUGGUGAGGUAACGGCUCACCAAGGCCGUGAUGCAUAGCCGACCUGAGAGGGUGAUCGGCCACAUUGGGACUGAGACACGGCCCAAACUCCUACGGGAGGCAGCAGUAGGGAAUCUUCCGCAACGGACGCAAGUCUGACGGAGCAACGCCGCGUGAGUGAAGAAGGUUUUCGGAUCGUAAAACUCUGUUGUUAGAGAAGAACAAGUGCUAGAGUAACUGUUAGCGCCUUGACGGUAUCUAACCAGAAAGCCACGGCUAACUACGUGCCAGCAGCCGCGGUAAUACGUAGGUGGCAAGCGUUGUCCGGAUUUAUUGGGCGUAAAGCGAGCGCAGGCGGUUCCUUAAGUCUGAUGUGAAAGCCCCCGGCUCAACCGGGGAGGGUCAUUGGAAACUGGGGAACUUGAGUGCAGAAGAGGAGAGUGGAAUUCCAUGUGUAGCGGUGAAAUGCGUAGAUAUAUGGAGGAACACCAGUGGCGAAGGCGACUCUCUGGUCUGUAACUGACG